AGGCAAGAUGUUGGCAAAGCUGU
rnacentral:miRNA from 1 species